rnacentral:rRNA from 1 species
UUACCACACCUAAAAAACUUUCCACGUGAACCGUAUCAACCCACUUAGUUGGGGGCUAGUCCCGGCGGCUGGCUGUCGAUGUCAAAGUUGACGGCUGCUGCUGUGUGUCGGGCCCUAUCAUGGCGAGCGUUUGGGUCCCUCUCGGGGGAACUGAGCCAGUAGCCCUUAUUUUUUAAACCCAUUCUUGAAUACUGAAUAUACUGUGGGGACGAAAGUCUCUGCUUUUAACUAGAUAGCAACUUUCAGCAGUGGAUGUCUAGGCUCGCACAUCGAUGAAGAACGCUGCGAACUGCGAUACGUAAUGCGAAUUGCAGGAUUCAGUGAGUCAUCGAAAUUUUGAACGCAUAUUGCACUUCCGGGUUAGUCCUGGGAGUAUGCCUGUAUCAGUGUCCGUACAUCAAACUUGGCUCUCUUCCUUCCGUGUAGUCGGUGGAUGGGGACGCCAGACGUGAGGUGUCUUGCGGGUGGUCUUCGGGCUGCCUGCGAGUCCCUUGAAAUGUACUGAACUGUACUUCUCUUUGCUCGAAAAGCGUGACGUUGUUGGUUGUGGAGGCUGCCUGUGUGGCCAGUCGGCGACCGGUUUGUCUGCUGCGGCGUUUAAUGGAGGAGUGUUCGAUUCGCGGUAUGGUUGGCUUCGGCUGAACAAUGCGCUUAUUGGACGUUCUU